AGUGAACGCUGGCGGUAGGCCUAACACAUGCAAGUCGAACGGCAGCACAGUAAGAGCUUGCUCUUACGGGUGGCGAGUGGCGGACGGGUGAGGAAUACAUCGGAAUCUACUUUUUCGUGGGGGAUAACGUAGGGAAACUUACGCUAAUACCGCAUACGAUCUACGGGUGAAAGCAGGGGAUCUUCGGACCUUUCGCGAUUGAAUGAGCCGAUGUCGGAUUAGCUAGUUGGCGUGGUAAAGGCCCACCAAGGCGACGAUCCGUAGCUGGUCUGAGAGGAUGAUCAGCCACACUGGAACUGAGACACGGUCCAGACUCCUACGGGAGGCAGCAGUGGGGAAUAUUGGACAAUGGGCGAAAGCCUGAUCCAGCAAUACCGCGUGGGUGAAGAAGGCCUUCGGGUUGUAAAGCCCUUUUGUUGGGAAAGAAAAGCAGCAGGUGAAUACCCCGCUGUUCUGACGGUACCCAAAGAAUAAGCACCGGCUAACUUCGUG
rnacentral:rRNA from 1 species